UACAGAGGUCCCAAGCGUUGUUCGGAUUCACUGGGCGUAAAGGGUGCGUAGGCGGCCGGGUAAGUCUGCUGUGAAAUCCCGCAGCUCAACUGCGGAACUGCAUUGGAUACUAUCCGGCUAGAGGAAUGGAGGGGAGACUGGAAUUCUCGGUGUAGCAGUGAAAUGCGUAGAUAUCGAGAGGAACACCAGUGGCGAAGGCGAGUCUCUGGACAUUAACUGACGCUGAGGAGCGAAAGCAUGGGGAGCGAACAGG
rnacentral:rRNA from 1 species